rnacentral:misc_RNA from 1 species
CUAAGGAUGGUUCUUCAGAAGCUUGCUUCUAUCGAACCGUUUUAGAAACAUCAGUGGCCAACGAUCGUCAGGAUUGUUGAGCUGCAUUGGCGGGAUUUCGCCGUCUUCGUUUCUCUUUCUUCGCGGACGAACACGCGCUGGGGCUGCAAGCUUGCAGAAUCCCUGGUCCUUGACUGGAUAUGCGUUAGGGGCUUGUAGCUCAGUUGGUUAGAGCGCGCGCUUGAUAAGCGUGAGGUCGGAAGUUCAAGUCUUCCCAGGCCCACCACACUCAUCGAGUGAGCAUUCGUCUUCUGGUUACGGGGCCAUAGCUCAGCUGGGAGAGCGCGUGCUUUGCAAGCAUGAGGUCGUCGGUUCGAUCCCGUCUGGCUCCACCAGAUGGUUUGAUCAUCGACUGAUCGUGCACCUAAAUCGUCCGCGAAACAUCACUUCGCACUUACUAGUCCGGAUGGACAGUAAGCUGCGUGAUUUCUGACAUCGUAAAGAGGAGAUCGAUCCGAGUUGGAUCGGGCAACAAGCAAUUGUUGCGCGAUACUUCAUUAUCUCCGGAUCAUUUCGGCGCUCGUGCGCCUUUCAAUGUAGCUCACAAGGCUGCGUCUGAGAGGAAUGCGAGUUGUAAAUGAUCCUUUUAGCGAAGCUUGACCGCCUCGCUAUCGGAACGAUCUUACGAAGCAAGCUGGUCUUUCUAAUCAUUGUCCGGCUGCAGAUAGCGUUCAUCGAGGGCGCGUGCCGCAAGGUAAUUCUGCAGACAACAUUCUGCCGAGUGUGUGGACAUUGAUAAUGAGAGCAAUCAAGUGCCUUAAGGGUGUUCGGUGGAUGCCUUGGCGCUGAGAGGCGAUGAAGGACGUGCUACGCUGCGAUAAGCCGUGG